AGCAGCCGCGGUAAUUCCAGCUCCAAUAGCGUAUAUUAAAGUUGUUGCAGUUAAAAGGCUCGUAGUUGAACUUCGGGGUCUACCCAUUGGUCAGGCUUAAUUGUCUGCACUGGUGAGAUGGAUCUCUACCUUCUGAGGAACUUUCAUGCCAUUUAUUUGGUGUGGUUGGAAACCAGGACUGUUACUUUGAAAAAAUUAGAGUGUUUAAAGCAGACUAUCGUCUGAAUACAUUAGCAUGGAAUAAUGAAAUAGGACGGACUGAUUCUAUUUCGUUGGUUUCUAGGAUCACCGUAAUGAUUAAUAGGGAUAGGUUGGGGGCAGUUAGUAUUCAAUU
rnacentral:rRNA from 1 species